rnacentral:rRNA from 1 species
GACGGAGGGCGCGGGUGUUAUUCGUUUUGAUUGGGUGUAAAGGGUACGUAGGCGGUCAUCGGUGUUUUGGCCGAAAACGCGGAGAGUUCCUACGCGCUAGGCCUUUGAUAAAGAUGACUUGAGUUGAGGAUAGGUUGGGGCAAAUUCUCAUGAAGGGGUAAAAUCCUACCAUAUGCGAAUGAAGUCCAGCAGGCGAAGGCGCCUUUCCGGUCUCAACUGACGCUCAGGUACGGAAGCUUAGGGAGCAAACGGG